rnacentral:rRNA from 1 species
GACGAACGCUGGCGGCGUGGAUUAGGCAUGCAAGUCGGACGGUAGGGCUUUAUCGUAAGAUAGAGUUUGAGAGUGGCGAACGGGUGAGUAACACGUAGGAAUCUACCCUUAAGACGGGGACAACCCAGGGAAACUUGGGCUAAUACCGGAUGAGAGUGCGAGAGAUUGCAUUUAAAAGGAUGGCGAAAGUUGUCGCUUAGGGAUGAGCCUGCGGUCUAUUAGUUAGUUGGUGAGGUAAGAGCUCACCAAGGCGAUGAUAGAUAGGCGGCCUUAACGGGUGGUCGCCCACACUGGGAUUGAGAUACGGCCCAGACUCCUACGGGAGCAGCAGUCGAGAAUAGUCUACAAUGGCCGGAAGGCUGAUAGUGCGACGCCGCGUGAACGAGGGGAGCCCUUCGGGGUGUAAAGUUCUUUUCUAUACGAGCAGUGCUAUAUAUAUGGAUAGUAUAUAUAGAGGGAUAGUAGUAUAGGAAUAAGCAACGGCUAAACUCCGUGCCAAGCACG